UACAGAGGGGGCAAGCGUUGUUCGGAAUUACUGGGCGUAAAGGGCGCGUAGGCGGCCUUCUAAGUCGAACGUGAAAUCCCCGGGCUCAACCCGGGAACUGCGUCCGAUACUGGAAGGCUUGAAUCCGGGAGAGGGAUGCGGAAUUCCAGGUGUAGCGGUGAAAUGCGUAGAUAUCUGGAGGAACACCGGUGGCGAAGGCGGCAUCCUGGACCGGUAUUGACGCUGAGGCGCGAAAGCUAGGGGAGCAAACAGG
rnacentral:rRNA from 1 species